CAGCUCUCCGAGUGGUAGGGAUGAUUAUUGGGCUUAAAGCGUCCGUAGCCUGCUUAGCAAGUCUCCUGUUAAAUUCAGCGACCUAAUCGUUGAGCCGCGGGAGAUACUACUAGGCUAGGAGGCGGGAGAGGUCGACGGUACUUCUGGGGUAGGGGUGAAAUCCUAUAAUCCCGGGAGGACCACCAGUGGCGAAGGCUGUCGACUAGAACGCGCUCGACGGUGAGGGACGAAAGCUGGGGGAGCGAACCGGAUUAGAGACCCGAGUAGUCC
rnacentral:rRNA from 1 species